AGAUUGAACGCUGGCGGCGUGCCUAACACACGCAAGUCGAGCGCUGUAGCAAUACAGAGCGGCAGACGGGUGAGUAACGCGUGGGAACAUACCCCAAGGUUCGGAAUAACUCAGGGAAACUUGAGCUAAUACCGGAUAUCUCCGAGAGGAGAAAGAUUUAUCGCCAUGGGAUUGGCCCGCGUUAGAUUAGCUAGUUGGUGUGGUAAUGGCCCACCAAGGCGAUGAUCUGUA
rnacentral:rRNA from 1 species